rnacentral:lncRNA from 1 species
GAAAUCUUGCACGUAAAACCUCUGCAAAGAGAAGUGAGGCGUUAAAUGGUGUUUAGAUGCCGUUAAUAAAGCCUGUCCUGCCACACGUUGAGCCUCUCCUCCACCUGCGGGGCCUUUGCAGCCGUCCCUUUGCAGCAGUUGUGUGGUGCUGGGUGUAGCUCGGAACGGACGACGAGUCGGUGUUGGUAAUUUAAAACCUUUGUGUUGGUGUCAGUGCCGUUUUCGGAGCCGAUUCCACCUGCCUCGGAUGUGCAUGCGCCCUGAUCGCGUCCCAGGUGCCGCUGCGCGUUUGCUUGCGGUCGAGCACGCCGUGCAGUGCAAUGGUGAGAGGAGGACGGAGGCGGCCCGCCGCGUUUGGCUGCUGUGGUUGUGCCUUCCCCUGGCCUGGGCUCUGCGUUCGCCGCAGGAGACUUCGGGGCACGGUUUGACCAUCAGCUGGGAUGGAGAAGAAGCCGACACUGCUGCAUCGCUGCCUUCGGAAAGCUCUGAUGUGACGCGCAGACGGAGACGCCUUGAAACGCAAGCUUGCCCUGAUUGCUUUGACAUCCUUUCGCCUCCCGUGGAUAACCAACCUGCUGCUGUCCUGGGGCCAUAGAGGAGCGCUGCUGGGCUGCGGGGGCUCCCAGCAGAAGGAUGCCGUUCCCGGGGCACAGAGCUGUGCGAAUCCCCAAACCAGGGCAGCUGAUGAAUUCCCAUCGCCCUCAGUGAAAGCAGCUCUCCUAAACUUACAGGCAGCUUUCCCAGGCAUGAGAGAGGAAUCGAAGCAGCGGGAGGCUUGGUUUGUUCUUGUUGUGAGAGUGGGCUGCGUUGGAUGUGGAUCUGGGGGGAGAGUUGCAUGAUGCUCUUUGGAAACAGCAGCAUUUGAGCAAGAGGUCUGAGUGGAGAGGAGUGGAUCUGCAGAGGUGAUCCUGAGCCGCAGUGAGGAAGUCUUAGAGCUGUGUGUCAGGACAGCGUGGGGCUCCUGACCUUUUUGGAUGGAUGCGAGGAGGCGAUCGGGGCACAAGAAAGGUACACUGCCUAUGCCAAGUCAUUUCUGGGCUGCUGGUGUCAGGCUGU